GAUGAACGCUGGCGGCGUGCCUAAUACAUGCAAGUCGAGCGAACGGACGAGAAGCUUGCUUCUCUGAUGUUAGCGGCGGACGGGUGAGUAACACGUGGAUAACCUACCUAUAAGACUGGGAUAACUUCGGGAAACCGGAGCCAAUACCGGAUAAUAUUUUGAACCGCAUGGUUCAAAAGUGAAAGACGGUCUUGCUGUCACUUAUAGAUGGAUCCGCGCUGCAUUAGCUAGUUGGUAAGGUAACGGCUUACCAAGGCAACGAUGCAUAGCCGACCUGAGAGGAUGAUCAGCCACACUGGAACUGAGACACGGUCCAGACUCCUACGGGAGGCAGCAGUAGGGAAUCUUCCGCAAUGGGCGAAAGCCUGACGGAGCAACGCCGCGUGAGUGAUGAAGGUCUUCGGAUCGUAAAACUCUGUUAUUAGGGAAGAACAUAUGUGUAAGUAACUGUGCACAUCUUGACGGUACCUAAACAGAAAGCCACGGCUAACUACGUG
rnacentral:rRNA from 1 species